rnacentral:rRNA from 1 species
CUGUAAGCCUGUGAAGGUGGCCUGUGAGGGUUGCUGGAGGUAUCAGAAGUGCGAAUGCUGACAUAAGUAACGAUAAAGCGGGUGAAAAGCCCGCUCGCCGGAAGACCAAGGGUUCCUGUCCAACGUUAAUCGGGGCAGGGUGAGUCGACCCCUAAGGCGAGGCCGAAAGGCGUAGUCGAUGGGAAACGGGUUAAUAUUCCCGUACUUGGUGUUACUGCGAAGGGGGGACGGAGAAGGCUAUGUUGGCCGGGCGACGGUUGUCCCGGUUUAAGCGUGUAGGUGUGUGUUCCAGGUAAAUCCGGUUCACUUUAACACUGAGGCGUGAUGACGAGGCACUACGGUGCUGAAGCAACAAAUGCCCUGCUUCCAGGAAAAGCCUCUAAGCAUCAGGUAACAUCAAAUCGUACCCCAAACCGACACAGGUGGUCAGGUAGAGAAUACCAAGGCGCUUGAGAGAACUCGGGUGAAGGAACUAGGCAAAAUGGUGCCGUAACUUCGGGAGAAGGCACGCUGACACGUAGGUGAAGUGAUUUACUCAUGGAGCUGAAGUCAGUCGAAGAUACCAGCUGGCUGC